rnacentral:rRNA from 1 species
GACGAACGCUGGCGGCGUGCUUAACACAUGCAAGUCGAACGAAGAGCGAUGGAAGCUUGCUUCUAUCAAUCUUAGUUGCGAACGGGUGAGUAACGCGUAAUCAACCUGCCCUUCAGAGGGGGACAACAGUUGGAAACGACUGCUAAUACCGCAUACGAUCUAAUCUCGGCAUCGAGGAUAGAUGAAAGGUGGCCUCUACAUGUAAGCUAUCACUGAAGGAGGGGAUUGCGUCUGAUUAGCUAGUUGGAGGGGUAACGGCCCACCAAGGCGAUGAUCAGUAGCCGGUCUGAGAGGAUGAACGGCCACAUUGGGACUGAGACACGGCCCAGACUCCUACGGGAGGCAGCAGUGGGGAAUCUUCCGCAAUGGACGAAAGUCUGACGGAGCAACGCCGCGUGAGUGAUGACGGCCUUCGGGUUGUAAAGCUCUGUUAAUCGGGACGAAAGGCCUUCUUGCGAAUAGUGAGAAGGAUUGACGGUACCGGAAUAGAAAGCCACGGCUAACUACGUG